ACUUGAAAAUUUCAUCUAUUUGUACUUUUAAAAACCAGUAUGGUUGACAAAAUAAUGAGAUAGUGACACACAAUGUGUCAUGUAUACCUAAUACUAAUGUAUACAUGGAUCAAUUUUUAACAACAAUAAUAAAUAAAAAUUUUAACA
rnacentral:pre_miRNA from 1 species